AUCGUAUGCCCUCCUUGGGCGUUUCCUCCCUAGACUUGGGCCGCCUUAGGGCGGCCUCUUUUUCUCUGGGGG
rnacentral:sRNA from 1 species